rnacentral:rRNA from 1 species
UGGGGGAUAUUGCACAAUGGGCGCAAGCCUGAUGCAGCCAUGCCGCGUGUGUGAAGAAGGCCUUCGGGUUGUAAAGCACUUUCAGCGAGGAGGAAGGUGGUGAACUUAAUACGUUCAUCAAUUGACGUUACUCGCAGAAGAAGCACCGGCUAACUCCGUGCCAGCAGCCGCGGUAAUACGGAGGGUGCAAGCGUUAAUCGGAAUUACUGGGCGUAAAGCGCACGCAGGCGGUUUGUUAAGUCAGAUGUGAAAUCCCCGGGCUCAACCUGGGAACUGCAUUUGAAAACUGGCAAGCUAGAGUCUCGUAGAGGGGGGUAGAAUUCCAGGUGUAGCGGUGAAAUGCGUAGAGAUCUGGAGGAAUACCGGUGGCGAAGGCGGCCCCCUGGACGAAGACUGACGCUCAGGUGCGAAAAGCGUGGGGAGCAAAACAGGAUUAGAUACCCUGGUAGUCCACGCUGUAAAACGAUGUCGAUUUUGGAGGUUGUGCCCUUGAGGCGUGGCUUCCGGAGCUAACGCGUUAAAUCGACCGCCUGGGGAGU